rnacentral:lncRNA from 1 species
CGGAGGCGGGGCCAGCGCGGGCUGGAAGUGAGCGUUGAGAACUUGCAGGCUAGUCCCUGGGCCGCUGCGAGGGCUGGAGGAGCUACUCAAAGACGCCCGCUAAAUGUUAACAGCGCUCAACACUGCUGCUUCAAACGCCUCCCCGGCCUUGUCAGCUUGACACGCGCGGCGGGUCGGAGGCUCACUGGACCAGAAACUUGUCUGGCAGGACGGACUGGUUGGCCCCGCGGCAUUCCAGCCCAGUGUCAUCACCUUGAAAACAGGAGAUGCUUUUGCCUCACUGGGCGUCCAGAGGUGCGUCGGCCAACAAUUCCGAUCACAACCGCAGCGCCGUCUCCCAGAAACUCAGUACUGAAUCUCACAAAGGUCACCACCUAGGAUCCCAACACAGUGUGAGAUGCUAUGGGACGCCGUUGCCCUCCAGCUAGUCUCUGAGCAGUGGUGGACCUUGGGCUGCCAAAGCGGGAACAGGAAGGGCACAAGAUCUGCAUUAAUUCUAGUCUUAAUCCUGUUAGAAGGUGAUUAGUUUUCUUGACAUGUAUCCGCCACCCGGUCAUUACUGACAAGCUAACAAAUGAAAAAAAGAGAGAAACAAAGAGAAAAAAGAAAAAAGGCGGGCCUUCACACAGGACAAGGUUCAGGAGAGCACCCUUAUAGAAAUAGAUCAACUAUGUAAAUUCCUCAAGGUCUUUACUGACACGGUAAAAGUAAGUAAAGUGUUGAAAAUUUACUAACAAAUGAGCAAAACCAAAAGUCAAAUUAGGAUGCAUUGAAAAGCAGAACACAAAGACAUCAUUUUACCUCACCAAACAGAUCUUUGAAGCUGUGCGGUUAGUUUGGGUUGCACGUUUUCAAAAGGAUGUCGAGAAACCAUAAUUUGUUCCUUAUGGGGUGGAUAACUGAAAUGACAGAGAAGAUUUGAAAAUAAGUCCCUACUGAACAGAGAACUAUGGGGUGACUACAUUAAUAAAUUGUCCAAUUGUUUGGAGGAUCGGAAAUGAAGGAGUGCUUGAUAGUGAAGAAGAUAAUCAGAAUAAUGGCUGAAGCCAGUAGUAGGGUUUCCAUCUCUGGCUACUACCCUACCCUGCAUAAAGGAUUAGAAGUGCUCCAUUCUAACUCUCUGGAAGUCAAGAAGCCUGAGUUCUAGUGCUGCCAAUGCCACUAAUUGCAUGGCCUUGAUGCCUCCUGGUUUUCUUAGAUUCCUUUAGAUUGAAGACUCGCAUUGGACCUGUUUUCUUGUCUUGGCCUUAACCCUCUUCUUAAAGCCCCACUCCAUCCUCUACAGGUAUUAUCAAAGAGAAGAUGAGAACCUUGAACUGAGAGGACCUCACAAGCCUGUAGUGAAGGAAGACCCUGUUGCCAAGAUGAGGUGCAGACGGUGGAGUUAAUCAUUCUCCUCAGUUCCUACUUGGUGAAUGUUUCAUGCAUCCGUGUGAAGAGAGUCCACCAAACAGGCUUUGUGUCUUUACCUCUCAACUGAACCCUGAACUCCUGGAGAAUAGAUGCUGUCGGGAAAUCACCAGCUUCUCACAAAGCAAUGAUCGUUGAAUAAAUCCUUGUUAAAUAAUGACAGUUUUCCUUUUUGGAUUGCUGUGAUCUCUACUCCCAUCACGACUGCUAAGCCUUGGGCAGGAGACCUUGUAUUCCCAGCCAGCUAUUCUUCCCACCGCCAUCCGUAGUUGGUCUCACUAUGUUGUGCAGGCUGGCCUCAAACUCCUGGGCUCAAGGGAUCUUCUCAUCUCAUCCUUCCAAAGGGCUGCGAUUACAAGUCUGUUUUAGGCACAUCUUGUAUCCCUCUUGCCUCAACUCUGGAAUUGGUUACCACUACUUCUGAACUGGGUGGCAGCUACAGACAGAGGUGGUAAGGGAGUAAUUGCUUAGGAUUGGACUGAGCUGAAGAAUGUUUAGCCUGGCGGUACUAGUGCAACUGGAAGAACAGAUGAACCAUAGUUUGCAACACAAAGCCAAGUCAACCAACAGAAGAAAUAUAUAUUUUAAGAAGAUUUUAUAUUUUCAACUGAAAACGUUCAUGUCAGUUGUGAAUGUAUUUGUAAUUGGCAGCCCCAAAUCAUCUCCCUUUUUAUUUUUGAGAAAGUGUAGUGUGCUUUAGUAUUUGGAACAUUCAUUUAAACCUAUUAAAUUAUAUUUUAAAAUGCACUGUUCCCAUUUCAAUCAAAAUUGGUUUUAUACUAUAUAUUGUAACACUAAAGUGCUUCUGGUAAUUUGCUUGUAAAACCAAAACUCUUUUAAAUUUAUCCACUUGUCCCUUUCAGAAAUGACGUGUUUGUGCAUAGGACUUGUUAGUAUUCUGAUUCAAACAAAACUACAGUACAUGUAAAAACAUAUUUAUAGAACAUAAAUAAGAAAAUGUGAACCCUGAAGAAUAUUUGAUGGAACUAAUGGACUAUUCUAAUUUUUAUGUGUGAAAAUGAUAAUGUGAUUUUUUAAAAGAGUCCUUCUUUUUUAGACAUGCACACUGAAAUAAUUAUAGAUGAAAUUAUGCAAUGUCUGUGAUUUGUUUCAAAAUAGUCUGGUGCUUAGGGAGAGAGAAGUGGGUGGGGAGAGAGAUGAAAUAAGCUUAGUUAUGAGUUGGUAAUUGUUGAAGCUGGGUCCUAUAUAUAUAUGGGGGUAAGGUCAUAUUCUAUUCUACUUUUGCAUAGAUUUGAAAUUUUUCAUAAUAAAAAGUUAAAAACAAAUCACACACCAAAAAAACUCCCAAACCCAACUGUCAUUAUUUAAUAACUUUGAACUUGGUAUGGACCUAAGAAGGCAUCUUUUACAAGGGAAAUGUGCAGUUCCAAGUCUUUUUCUUGAUGAUUGGGUCUGAAUGUGUUAAUCAAUGCUGCCCUGUCAUAGCCCCGACAUAGGGAAAAUGCUGAAAUGUGAUUUUUAAAUCAUAAAAAUGUGCCCAUAGUAAUAGCUCCAUCUUUUGCACAAUAUUUAAAUCAAUUCAUUGAUUUCCAGUUGCCUGAUAUUCUUAUUUCAGUAACAAAAUAAACGAUACAUAGUUCAGUAAAGUUGAAUCCAUUUGGGUUCAUUUGUGCUCGAAGUCUGAAGCCAAGUAAGAUCUGCUUCUUAGCUGCAUGUCAGGGGAUAAGGCAUCAGUCUCUUUGUAAGGCUUGGUUUCCUUUUUUUUCUUUUAUCGUACAGUUUCUAACCACGUUCAUGAAUAGAUAAAUUAAGGACAAAAUACAUCUAUAUCCCUCCUUGGCUCUUUGUUUAUUUGCAUAUACAGAAUUACUAAUAUAGUCCAUGUCUGUAAAUGUCUUAAAAAUGUCUCCAUUAAAAAAAUCCAGAAAAAUGA